rnacentral:tRNA from 1 species
AGCUGGAACGAAUGUGAACCAAAAUCAAGGACAUGCGUCGCCGAGCGCAACCUUGACAUGGUAGGGGUCACAGGUUCGAUCCCUGUCGUGCCCACCA